AGUGUGAAAUCUGCCUGAAAGUC
rnacentral:miRNA from 1 species